rnacentral:rRNA from 1 species
UGAAGAAGGUAUCUUUGGGUCUGGCUCUUGUCUAUGUCUUCUUGGAACAGAACGUCACAGAGGGUGAGAAUCCCGUGCGAUGAGAUGAUCCAGGCCUAUGUAAAGUUCCUUCGAAGAGUCGAGUUGUUUGGGAAUGCAGCUCUAAGUGGGUGGUAAAUUCCAUCUAAAGCUAAAUAUUGGCGAGAGACCGAUAGCGAACAAGUACAGUGAUGGAAAGAUGAAAAGAACUUUGAAAAGAGAGUGAAAAAGUACGUGAAAUUGUUGAAAGGGAAGGGCUUGAGAUCAGACUUGGUAUUUUGUAUGUUACUUCUUCGGGGGUGGCCUCUACAGUUUAUCGGGCCAGCAUCAGUUUGGGCGGUAGGAGAAUUGCGUUGGAAUGUGGCACGGCUUCGGUUGUGUG